CUAUUGAAUAACUCACUUUCAGGGCCUUGCAUAAGACCCAGUGAACAAUUUUUGGAGACCCUUCUCUUCGGAUUAGGGUG
rnacentral:snRNA from 13 species